rnacentral:lncRNA from 1 species
AGCGGCGUGUACCUACAUUUUCGGUAUUAGUUUUAAAAUAUCAUUGGUUUCCUGUGCUGCAAUAAAAUGUCAUGGAUGAUGAAUGAUAAUAAAAAUGAUAAUUGACAUGCAUGAUAUUAGUAACACCAAAAGGGUCAGUCGUCUUGAGAUUGCUCACUUUACAUUAUUUUGUUGAAGAUCUCAAAGAAACAGUAAUUUGUUUUAUUUCUUAUGAUGUUAUUAGACUGUUAUCCUGUUAGAAUCAAAUGCACUAAUAUUAAUGGCGUAGAAGUUAGCAUGCGGGAGAAACAGAAAUUGGAGCAUCGAAAUUCCACAUUACGUUUCUUAUUACGGAAAAUUACACGCAUUACGUCCCGCAAAAAGUGACGUUUUGCGGGAAUUCAAACGCUUAACGUCGCGCCAAGAGUUAACUCCCUUGAAACUGUAUCGGAUGCCCUUAAGUGCAUCGGA